GAUACUUUACAACCCUGAUGUUUGUUUACCUUUUGCACUUGCCAAUUAAUUGGUAAAAUUAAAUAUAUAAAUUGAUCUUGAAGCUGCUGUGGAGGAAAAAUAGCAAACGAUACACAUAUAAUAUGAUAAUUGUGUGUCUUUUUUUAUAUAUAGGUAUGUGAUUAUUUGGUGAAGGUUAGAAUGGAGCAGCGCAUACACUUGUUCGACGGAGCGAAAGCCUGUGUGCAGAUAUGUCUUGAUGUACUUGCAUACAUCAAUAUGGCGAUCGGUUAAAUAUUUGGAUGCCCUUAUGAAUACGAACAAUAUUUUAUUUGCAAUUUUUAAUUUUUUAAAUACAAUUGCCACUCGCUUUAACCACGGACAAUGUGAAGCAAAAAAAUAUGUUCAGACGCACAAAUAUGAAUUAAUCGGCCUGGAGUUGCCGGAAAUUUGGCAAUGGACGAGUUGAGAUCCACCAAUGCCUGCUGGGGCGAACUGGAUAUGCCAAAUGUUGAGAGAUCCGGCUCGAAGGACUAAAUGAUGUAGUAGGGCGUCCGCAGGGCUUCCAGAUGAACUUUACGAAUUUCUGUAUCGUUGGGGGAGCGUUUCUGCGCUGCACAAAUUUACUUAAAAAGAGUACAUUACAAUGUAUUAGCAAAGACAAUA